GCGGUAGCUCAAGAGGUAGAGCAGGUCAUCUGGCAACCGGAAGGUCGCUGGUUCGAUCCCCGGCUCCUAGCCA